GGAUUGAACUCAUGGCCUUUGCUCUGAGCUAUAUCCCCAGGCCUCUUUUUACUUCUUAAUUUCGAGAUGAGGCCUCUCUAGGUCACUAAGUUGUCCAGGCUGAGGUCGGACUUGUGACCCUCCUGCCUCAGCCUCUCAGAGGGCUGGGCCUAUUAUGAUUGCAGUGUGAGUUUUAAAAUGGUAGUUGAAGCAGGGGGAUGAGGGAGGAAAACGAGGUAAAAGAAGGUAACUUCAUUUCCUCCACAGUUACUAACUCCCUUGUCCCCAAGCUUGUACACAGUCUGGUGACAUUCCUGGGCAGAAGCUACUUGUCUGUGCCUGGACCCUGCAUUUGCAUCCUGCUGGCUGCCAUUUUGCUCUGCUGAGCUGUGGGGUGUGGGAUUAAAGGCCCUUUGCCUAAGUGAACAGUUUCUCUGCCUUCCUGACAGCUGUGAGAAAUUCUGAUUGACAAGAGGGCAGAUUCUAAGCUGGGAGCAGGGCAGAGGGGACAAUGUGACAGUCCCUGGCGAGAAAGACAUGUCCCCACGUGCGUGCUGCGAGGCCCCACUGGUGUCAGAUGGAUCACAAAGCUCCUCUUUGGUGUUGGGUAUUUAAAGCCAGCGACAAAGGAAAGUGACUAAGACAGAUGACAAACUUGAGGCCAGCCUAGGCUACUUAGUGACACCAUGUCCAAACAAACAAACAAACAAACACCAACAAGGUCAUUGCUGCAUCUAAUCGUGCUGCACAUGGACUGAAGCCUCUGAACCGUGAGCCGAAAUAAACCUCUCCUCUCUCAAGUUGUGGGUGGCAGAUUCUUUGCUCCGCCAAGAGGAAAAGUGACUGACAGUGCACCUCUGACUUCUGUGUCUAUCAGUUAGCAGAUACAAGUCUGUUUCUCUAAAUCGGUUACUGAGGGCUUCAGAAAUCCCAGGGAAGGCACCAGUCACUCGGUUCGUUUCAGCAGUAUUUAUUUGUGACGUCCUGCUCAGUGCAGCAGUCAUCUUUUCUGCCAUCCACAUGAUCUUUAUGUGCCAUGGCCACCUGGCAGGCUCCGUUCAGGACCUAGUGAGCCUUAUAGGUGGGAUGAUUUCCAGGUUUAUGAAUGACUUUUCCAUUAUUAUGGAAUUAAUCCUUUUGAUUUGGGGUUCUGGAUGGGUUUCUGAUGUUGUUCAAGAUCGAGCUGUAGAAGCAGCAGUUGCCUCCACCUUUGUAUUCUUUUAGGAGAAAUUAAUCCGGUAUAUUAUGCAAACAAAUAGAAGAAUGGUAAGUUAAAUAUUCUCUUUAUGUGUGUCCUGUUUAUUAGUCUCCUGAUAUCACAUUUAUAAUUUUAAUUUUUAUGUUUUGGAAAUACUUUAACGAUGUUAAAAUGAAAAAAAAAAAAAUGUCCCAUCCCACUACUUUAAACAAAUUGACAGCUUUCAAUCUUUUUUUGGGUCAUUUCAGUUCCUUUUAAUAUGUGUAUAUGAUUUUUGCAUAGCAGAAUAGAGCUGAUAGUAAUAAUUCUAAUAAAAAGUAAAGCCAUUAUUUAUGAGCC
rnacentral:lncRNA from 1 species